ACUCAACCUGUACAUAAACAUUAACAUAACAUUGAUCCCUCUGUGGAAUCUCAACAGUGCCCCCAAUGGGUGACAUAACAUAAGUUGAGUUGGUUUACAUAAACAUCAUAAAAAUCUCUAAGAUCAUGUAUUAAAAGGGAUAACAACAAUCUAUGGUCAAGCAUACUUCUAACAUCCAUAAACAUCAUCUCAUUUCAUAACUAUACUGAUUAAGACUUUACAUUACAAUUUGAUCAUGUCCAUUGCUAACUAUUACAUAACAAAACUUCAUUACUCUAUCCGGACUCAUGCUCUAUCCUGUACCUGCAAGCCUGGGGAUAAAGGGAGAGGGGUGAGCUAAAAGCCCA
rnacentral:lncRNA from 1 species